rnacentral:rRNA from 3 species
AAAUUGAAGAGUUUGAUCAUGGCUCAGAUUGAACGCUGGCGGCAGGCCUAACACAUGCAAGUCGAACGGUAACAGGAAGCAGUUUGCUGCUUCGCUGACGAGUGGCGGACGGGUGAGUAAUGUCUGGGAAACUGCCUGAUGGAGGGGGAUAACUACUGGAAACGGUGGCUAAUACCGCAUAACGUCGCAAGACCAAAGAGGGGGACCUUCGGGCCUCUUGCCAUCAGAUGUGCCCAGAUGGGAUUAGCUAGUUGGUGAGGUAACGGCUCACCAAGGCGACGAUCCCUAGCUGGUCUGAGAGGAUGACCAGCCACACUGGAACUGAGACACGGUCCAGACUCCUACGGGAGGCAGCAGUGGGGAAUAUUGCACAAUGGGCGCAAGCCUGAUGCAGCCAUGCCGCGUGUAUGAAGAAGGCCUUCGGGUUGUAAAGUACUUUCAGCGGGGAGGAAGGUGUUG